AUACGGAGGAUCCGAGCGUUAUCCGGAUUUAUUGGGUUUAAAGGGUGCGCAGGCGGCCAUUUAAGUCAGCGGUUAAAUCGUGGGGCUCAACCCCAUUCAGCCGUUGAUACUGGGUGGCUUGAUUGCGGUCGAGGUUGGCGGAAUUCGUUGUGUAGCGGUGAAAUGCAUAGAUAUGACGAAGAACACCGAUUGCGUAGGCAGCUGACCAGAUCGCAAAUGACGCUCAUGCACGAAAGUGCGGGGAUCGAACAGGAUUAGAUACCCUGGUAGUCUGCGCAGUAAACGAUGAAUACUUGUUUUCGGCGAUAUAAUGUCGGAGGCAAAGCGAAAGCGAUAAGUAUUCCACCUGGGGAGUACGCCGGCAACGGUGAAACUCAAAGGAAUUGACGGGG
rnacentral:rRNA from 1 species